rnacentral:rRNA from 1 species
CGGAAUGGCCGGGGUGCCUAAUACAUGCAAGUCGAGCGGACAGAAGGGAGCUUGCUCCCGGAUGUUAGCGGCGGACGGGUGAGUAACACGUGGGUAACCUGCCUGUAAGACUGGGAUAACUCCGGGAAACCGGAGCUAAUACCGGAUAGUUCCUUGAACCGCAUGGUUCAAGGAUGAAAGACGGUUUCGGCUGUCACUUACAGAUGGACCCGCGGCGCAUUAGCUAGUUGGUGAGGUAACGGCUCACCAAGGCGACGAUGCGUAGCCGACCUGAGAGGGUGAUCGGCCACACUGGGACUGAGACACGGCCCAGACUCCUACGGGAGGCAGCAGUAGGGAAUCUUCCGCAAUGGACGAAAGUCUGACGGAGCAACGCCGCGUGAGUGAUGAAGGUUUUCGGAUCGUAAAGCUCUGUUGUUAGGGAAGAACAAGUGCAAGAGUAACUGCUUGCACCUUGACGGUACCUAACCAGAAAGCCACGGCUAACUACGUGCCAGCAGCCGCGGUAAUACGUAGGUGGCAAGCGUUGUCCGGAAUUAUUGGGCGUAAAGGGCUCGCAGGCGGUUUCUUAAGUCUGAUGUGAAAGCCCCCGGCUCAACCGGGGAGGGUCAUUGGAAACUGGGAAACUUGAGUGCAGAAGAGGAGAGUGGAAUUCCACGUGUAGCGGUGAAAUGCGUAGAGAUGUGGAGGAACACCAGUGGCGAAGGCGACUCUCUGGUCUGUAACUGACGCUGAGGAGCGAAAGCGUGGGGAGCGAACAGGAUUAGAUACCCUGGUAGUCCACGCCGUAAACGAUGAGUGCUAAGUGUUAGGGGGUUUCCGCCCCUUAGUGCUGCAGCUAACGCAUUAAGCACUCCGCCUGGGGAGUACGGUCGCAAGACUGAAACUCAAAGGAAUUGACGGGGGCCCGCACAAGCGGUGGAGCAUGUGGUUUAAUUCGAAGCAACGCGAAGAACCUUACCAGUCUUGACAUCCUCUGAACAACCUAGAAGAUAGGGCUUUCCUUUCGGGGACAGAAGUGACAGGUGGUGCAUGAUGGUCGGUCAGCUCGUGUCGUGGAGAUGUGGCUAAGUCCCGCAACGAGCGCAACCCUUUGAUC